GGGGGUGACUGGCUUUGACAGCGCUCUGACGGAGGUCGGCAAGCAUGCAGAGCAGCGGCAUCUAUGCUCUAUAAUAUCUUGGUGUCGAACUAUAAUUGGCGAAAAUAACAACUACGCUCUCGCUGCUUGAUCUGAAGUACAGUAGGAUCGCUUAAUCUCCGCCCAAGGAUGGCAGAGACGAGACAUCACCCCAUUGCCCCGUCCUGAGACGUUUGGAUAAGGUGGUGCUAAGAAAUUCAGGAAUAGGGGAGAGCAAGCUCCGGGCCCUCUCCGAAACCAAGGAGCUAAGGACAAGAUUGGUAGUCGCGAGCCUGUCUUUGUCCCGACAACCAAGUCGAUGACUAAGCAUGUAGAAAACCGGCAGCUGCGGCGUUUGGACGAGGGUUCAAUCCCCUCCACCUCCACU
rnacentral:tmRNA from 1 species